rnacentral:lncRNA from 1 species
AACACACAAAAUGCAACAGCAGUGCGGUAUUCCAGCAAGAGUUGAGAAAUGGUGCGCUGCGUUUUUUUUAAUUAUUAAAAAAGAAGAGUACGGAAGAAAAGAAGAAGAAGAAGAAGUAGUGUGAACCAACCAAUUGAGUGUGUGAGGACACUAAUGACAAAGACACUGAAGAACAUAACGACACCAACCGGCUGCUAGGGAGCUAAGCAGUCGGCGCUGGUUCCAGUUCCAGUGUGUGUUAGCAUGAGCAUCAUCUCGGAAAUACAGAAGUACGACGAGGAUGGUGGCCAGUGGGGGUUUUGCACUAUUAAGUACACAUGCAGGCGGUGUUAGAUACCAUGUUGAGCUGGAUGGUGGUUUUGGCUGCUUUCGAUUUGGCAAGCUAUAUACAUAUACAUGUGUGCAGGAUUUGAACAAUGCAAUCAUACACGAAGAGCGAUUUUAGGUUAUGCAUGAAGAGCAAUUUUGUCCUAUACUGCGUCUGGUGAUUGUGUGGUACAGAUGGCUGGCUAGUAGCUAGCACUGCGAAAAAACCAACUCGAGGUGCUGGACGUGCGCUUUAGUACGUGUACGUAUUUUUACGGUGUGUGCCGUACUGUAUGACGGCCGCCAAGUACAGGUGGGUAGCUGCCGGUGACACGCAGACAGGCGGGUGGCUCCCCGGGUGGCCCUGCAGGCAGAACACACACACACACACACACACACACACACGAUGGAGGUUGCACCAAAAGGCCAACGUUCGAUGUGACCACAAUGUGUUGUGUCGUAGUGAGUGUAUGUAAUCAGCGCACUCCUGACACUGACAGCACAGCGGUGUCUGUUAUAAUCUGUUGUGCUGUGUGUGUCUCCUGCGCAUGAGAGAGAAGAGCAUUGUUUUACUUGUUGUGAGAUAUGUACUGCUUAUACUGAACGUGUCUUUCCUCUGGUGCCGCGGGCCGUCUCUAAAACCUGAGAGGUGGCUUGCUUUAUUCGUGUUAUGAUGCCGAUCGCGUCGUGCUAUCCUGAGCUCCUGUUCGCCUGCCAAUAGGUGGGGACUGGGAACUGUGUGCCCCGGGCGCAUGUAUGCAUGAAGGUGUGUGUGUGUGGUUACUAUGUGGCCAUGUCGACCCAAGUGACUCGGAAGUGCUGCAGCUGUAUACAUACAUACAUACAUGCAUACAUAUGCAUGCAUACGAAACAACCAAUGCCGUACGGGCUGCAAUAGCUAGGGAGGACGGUAGGUCCAUUUUCUGCGAGUUCAAAGUCGUUUGGUGUGUGUGGGGGGGGCCGCUGAACUUGGUUGUCGGUCCAGCCCGACACAGGUGGAGUGGGGUAGGGCUUGGUAAGGUAAGGGCAGUGGUGAUGGUAUCGCCGGUAGUGGAGCUGAGGUAAAGGAAAUUAUUGCUUUAUUGCCGCCAACGGACCCUGUGCGUGAAAACCAUUGUACAGGGCCGGCGUUGGGAAAGGGGGGGGGUAAGGAAAUAUAUGGCUAUGAAAUAAAUAUCACAUCUGCGCCUCUAGAAGCUACGGAUCAACGGACCCUCGUAUUGCCUGGGUUUAUAGUUUAGAGUGUAAAACCCUAAAACCCCCAAAACCUAUCUUGGCACAUACGUGCAUCUUUUCAUCCAUCCAUUCUUUCAUAUACAUAUGCGAGCGACGUCACCUUAAGGGGAAUUCUUUCCUCUGCUGCUAUCUUCCCGUCCCAGUAUACAGUUGUGUAAUGUUAUGGGGGGUGCGGGCAGGGCAACAACCCCCCCAUCAGACAUGCUGUAACCUCACUCACUCAUUCAAUCACAUUUCAUUCGCUUACUCACAAGCAAUCCAUGUACUUGAGAAAGAGGCGCAAGAACGUUUUGAAAGUUCGCACGUUGUUGCGCAGAGCCGCCGGGUCUUGUAACCCCGCGUCCGUCCGAGUCAGCAAGAAGUCCGUUCGUCUGUCGGUCUGUCAUGACGCACCUUGGUACUCUUGGGCAAGAGCACUCGUAACGUUCUCAUCAACCAAACAUUAACAAGCAAAUGUACGACGCUCCCUUUUCCCCUCAACGAGAUUAAGCAUCUCAUGUGGCCGACAAAGGAUAGCUGCUCCCGGAACUCAAAAAGCGUCAAUUCUCUCCCUAUCUCCCGCGGCCUAUUGUAUCAAUCACAACCCGCCAGCACUGGCAAACAGGGACCCCGUACACCACACCAUCACCACCAUGACCAUCGUAGUCACCAUAGUCUUCGGCUUUACAUCACCACCACCACUCGCCCCACAUCACCACCAAAGUCCGCUCCGCAGUUGCACUCACACUGUUCACCAACCAACAUCCAAUUCCUACUAACUACUCGCCAACCACCAGCGGCGCCUGAAUCAACCACUCGCCCCUCUUCACCACUUUCUGGACAUGAAUAAAGCUGUCUCUCCCCUCGAAAAAGCCCCGAACGAGCACCUUCCUUUCAACCUCACCCGCACUCCCAUCGCCCGCACCCGCACCCGCGCCCCAUUCCGUUGUUUCCACCCCCACCCCCACCCGACUGACAAACAGCGACC